CGUUCUGUAAGCCUGUGAAGGUGUGCUGUGAGGCAUGCUGGAGGUAUCAGAAGUGCGAAUGCUGACAUAAGUAACGAUAAAGCGGGUGAAAAGCCCGCUCGCCGGAAGACCAAGGGUUCCUGUCCAACGUUAAUCGGGGCAGGGUGAGUCGACCCCUAAGGCGAGGCCGAAAGGCGUAGUCGAUGGGAAACAGGUUAAUAUUCCUGUACUUGGUGUUACUGCGAAGGGGGGACGGAGAAGGCUAUGUUGGCCGGGCGACGGUUGUCCCGGUUUAAGCGUGUAGGCUGGUUUUCCAGGCAAAUCCGGAAAAUCAAGGCUGAGGCGUGAUGACGAGGCACUACGGUGCUGAAGCAACAAAUGCCCUGCUUCCAGGAAAAG
rnacentral:rRNA from 1 species